CUUGCUCUUUCCAUUCUGAUUUGCAUUUGGAGUUGAUCUCAAGAAGAUUGGGCUCCAACAUCAAGGAUGUUGCUUUUGGUUUGUGUUCGCUUCCUACAAGUAAGGUGAAGCUUGAGAUCUAAGGCGUCAAAGUUUUGAUAGAAUUCAAGGAUGACAAUAUUUGGACAGGCAAAAUAGACAUCAAAACGGCUAUCACGCUUCUCCGAAUCGUGCAGCCAUAUAGGACAAGUUACUGCUAGAGUGGUAGUUGGCUAACUACAUCCUGGUUGCUGCAUUGUGCAUGAUUUGUUGGGAUCUGGAUCCCUGGGAUUAAUGGACGUAGGAUGUAGCAAUGACUGUUGCAAGGAUGGCCGAAUCAAGUUGAGAAUCUAUGUUGAUUAUUUAUAGUUUGAAAGUAAGGUUAUUGAGUUGUGAUUGAUCCUGCCAAUGUCUUUAAAAAAGUGCACUCGGAAGUGGGAAAGUUAAGUUAUCAUCGUGAUGCUUUAUUGUCAAGUGUUUGCAAAGUCUUUUAGUGCAGCUCUGGGAAUGCGAUGCA